UACGUAGGGUGCAAGCGUUAUCCGGAAUUAUUGGGCGUAAAGAGCUCGUAGGCGGUUUGUCGCGUCUGCUGUGAAAACUGGAGGCUCAACCUCCAGCCUGCAGUGGGUACGGGCAAACUAGAGUGCGGUAGGGGAGAUUGGAAUUCCUGGUGUAGCGGUGGAAUGCGCAGAUAUCAGGAGGAACACCGAUGGCGAAGGCAGCACUCUGGGACGUGACUGACGCUGAGACGCGAAAGCGUGGGGAGCAAACAGG
rnacentral:rRNA from 1 species